rnacentral:lncRNA from 1 species
UGCAUCUUUUGAAGUCCACCAGAGUUAUAUAUAUGAACAUAAUGUAUAUAAAAAAAAUAUAGUAAUUCCGGCAACCGGCUUAGCACCAAAUUCCAAUGGUGGCAAAAUAAAUUGAAACUUAACCGAUGACAUUCAAAAACUUUAUGAGCUAUGCUAAAAUCUAAACUUUAUGAGCUAUGCUAAAAUCUAAUCUUAGUUGGUGAGUGCGUUUCCUUUUCUCUUAUUUCCUUGUUUUUCGUUCCCAUUUGAUGUAAUUUAGAACGUAACCGAAGAGCAUGAAUUGGGUUCUUUACCAGUUUGAGAAAAUUGUUG